CCCAGCUCGUCAUGCUAGAGCACUUUUUCAAUGGGCUCCCGAACGACAAGGCAAUGACGCACUCGUAUGUCAUCCAUAUCAACUUUCAAUGCCAUUUACUGCACCUACCAUGGUGACCACGGGUAACGGGGAAUCAGGGUUCGAUUCCAGAGAGGGAGCCUGAGAAACGGUCACCACCUGCAAGGAAGGCAGCAGGCACGCAAAUGACCCACUCCCGACGUGGGAAGGCAGUGACG